rnacentral:misc_RNA from 1 species
AGGACGUGAAACUGGAAGUUAAAUUGUGAGUAGAAACCAUUGCCGAGACGGUGUAUGUAAACGAAUAUUUUAGAGGAACUGAAGAACGAUUUACAAUCUGCAUUUAUCUUCUCUACAUUUUAACGGCCAGCCUUUGCGUUAUUCCUUGUGUUACUAUCUUGAGGAAAUAGAUCGUAGCGAGGAUUAAUUUACUUAAGUGAUUUGGGUUCUGCUUAGGAAAAGUAGUGAGUGUGUUCGAAAGGAAGUGAGGGAGAGACACUUGGCGGUGUCGUGACAGCAUCACGGCCAGGCAGCCAGCCUUGUAAACAGACGCCACAAGAGCUGAACCCAGGACAGCCAACCUUCACUGAGAUGGUGACAGGCGCUAACUUUUGCGCUGCCGGACCGCCCGAAGAUUUAUAAAGACAAAAAUAUUGAAAGUAACAGCUAUAAUAAAAUCUUAAGGGUUCUUAGUAAAAACAGUAAAAAAUCUAGCACUUAAAACUAAAUAGAAUUCCAGAAUCUAGGAAUAGGACAACAUAAAGGAUCUGAACACCUGCAGAACACCAUUUCUGUGACCUGGUAGGCCUCCUUGGCACUAAGAGGAAGACACAAAACUGGAAGAAGGAACCAGAAACAGUAAACAACACCAUUGGCGUCAGAGCGAAUCUUCUUCCACACCUCCCCUUCCAUUCCUCGCCUCCUCCAUUCUCCACUUCCCUAUAUUCCUCCAAAUCCUAUUGCCCCACAGAACGAAAUCGCUUAUAGGCGGAAGCACGUUUCUCUCCCAAACACGAGACUAACAGCAAAAUCCAGUAAAGUAGUAGGGUAAGAUAUACAUAGUUUCACGUGGACUUAAACUGCGGAAGUUGACAGUGAAUUAACCAGAGAUGGAAACAGUCUUCCUGGUGAAGACGCCAACCGUCUUCAUUGCACUUCUAACAGCAAAGCUGACAGGAUGUGGCAGUCGAUGGCUUGGCUCUGGCUUCUCGUGGCGGCUCGUCUUGAAGUUCAAGGCCAUACAUGCACGUGUGAAGCGACUGGCGGAUGCAACUUUACUGAAGCCUGCGUUCCUGCUGACAACUGCAGAAAAGGCAAUGUAGCUCUCGGCAAAGCAGCAAGACUGAGUUCUGUGUACGACACCAAUGAAGUAUCUGGACCGGCAUGUCUGGCUGUGAAUGGCAACCGUGAUGAAACCUUCAGACCCAUCAAUCAGUUUCCAGACAGUCCCAACUGUGUUCACACGGGAUAUGGGGACCUGAGUCCAUUCUGGGAAGUGGACUUGGGACAGGACUUCCUCAUCACUAGCAUUACGGUCAUCGGACGAAAUACACAAAUUACACGAAUGAGAAGCAUGAAGCUGAAUGUAGACAACCAAGAGAUCUACACUUUCCCAUCAGACAACGCGCUACUUAAGACGGAGAUCUCACUUCCUGUUCCCGUGAGAGGACGUAGAGUGAGACUGUCUAAAAAAUCGCAAGCUGGAAAUGACAUGUUCUUAAAUUUAUGCGAAGUGCAGGUGUGGGAAUGCGUUGAGGGAUAUUUCGGACCAGACUGUAACAAGACGUGUGGAGCAUGCAGAUACAACUCAGUCUGUGACACUGUCACAAAAGCCUGUCCUGCUGGCUGUGAGAGUGGAUGGCAGGGCCCCAGGUGUGAUCAAACAUGUGCAGCAGGUACGUACGGAAGAGACUGUAAGUUGCAGUGCGGCCAUUGCAGAAGAAGUGUUCAUUGUGAUCACGUGAACGGCACGUGCAAGUUGGGAUGUGUUGACGGAUUUCAAGGAAAGCUGUGUAGGCAAGUUUGUGACGAGGGUUACUUUGGGCCAAACUGCAGCAGGAAGUGCGGAGGAUGCAAGAACAAUGCACCCUGCGAUACCGAAACAGGAAACUGUCCUGACGACUGCGACACUGGAUGGCAAGGCUCCAGAUGUGACCAAAGUCAGACAUGCUCGUGUGAGGUGACUGGAGGAUGCAAUUUUACAGAGAGUUGCAUACCUGCUGGCAACUGCAGAAAACGCAAUGUAGCUCUAGGAAGAACAGCUACGAUGGGUUCUGUACCUGACGAUUCUAACCUCAAUGAAACAUCAGGUCCAGCAUGUCUGGCUGUGAAUGGUAACAGUGACGUCACCUACAGUCCCUUCAGCCGGUUUCCAGCCAGUCCAAACUGUGUCCACAUAGCCAGUGGCAACUUUUCGAGUCCAUUUUGGGAGGUGGAUUUGGGUCAAGAGUUCCCUAUCGCUGCUGUCACACUCAUGGUACCACCUUUAGACAGAUUAUUCAGAGUGUAUAGUAUUCUCUUGGGUAGUCAUAUUGAGGAGAUUUACAUAAGAAAUGCAGCUGCCAGGCAAGACGCCAGACUAGACAAGGUGAUAGUAAGUCACAAAGUGAGACUUUCACUGGCCAAAGGAUACGGUUAUUUCGAUGUCGAGGAUCUUUCUCUCAGUCUAUGCGAAGUGCAGGUUUGGGUGUGUGUCGAUGGCUACUUUGGAAUUAAUUGUAACAAGAAAUGUGGAGCCUGCAGGAAUAACUGGACGUGCGAUGCCGUGACAGGAUACUGUCCUGCUAAUUGCGAGCCUGGAUGGCAGGGCUUCAGAUGUGAUCAAACCUGUGCCGAGGGCUACUUUGGACCAGACUGUGCCAAGACGUGUGGAAGUUGCAAGAACAGCUCUGUCUGCGAUUCCAUUUUAGGAAACUGCCCUGCUGGAUGUGAAAGUGGAUGGCGGGGUCCUACGUGUAAUCAAACCGAGGAGAACGAGAAUCUGACGGCUCUUGUCGCAGGCUUAGCUGUUGGUGGCAUCGUCAUGUUCAUUGUUGUCGCUGUUGGCAUAUUUUGGCGGUGUAAGUUGUCUUCAGGAUCUGACGAUGUAGUCGCAGGCUACUCAUCAAGACAAAUAGAAUCACCUGUAUACGAUAACCAGGGGGAUGAACAAAGAGUUUAUGAGGUAAUAAGUAACACACCAGAGGGCGUCUACGAGGACAUUGCUCAGCGGGAGGUCAUUGACAAGCAUCUUAGACGACCGGCGGAAGACAUGGAUACGAACGAUGUUUAUGUCAACAUUGUCUAAAAGUAGACUACUGUUUGUGGUCAUUCUUGCUUGGUUAGUUAAUACGUUAGAAAGAAAGUUUUAGAUGAUUGCAUUAGUGCAAAGAGUUUAGCUUAACCACUCGAGUUACUCACCAAGACAUUUAGAAAGGACGCUGGUUCAGUAAGACAAUUUUUGGACGUGAAGAAAAGUUUUUGGUUUAUUUGGUAGGAAGGUGCUUCCAAACAGGUGAUUUCGCAUUAUGAGGGUGGAGAGGUGGGGAGUAACCGGAGAAAACCCCCAGCGGUAGCUCAGGGACAGGUGUCACAUACAAAGAGUGUCCCGAGACGAUAUCUGAACCCUGAGUUUCUCCCUGUAGUAGUGACAAGCAAGUGUUUUAACCACUGCACUACCAGGACUCCCCAGGAGAUGGAAGAGAGAGGGGAAUGUCCCCAGGUUGUAGUAUUUAUGUUUACUCCAACGUUCAGUGGAUGACUUUCAGAGUAAAUUACAUUAUUUUAUCUAUAUUAUUGCUUUUUUGCUAAAACAUCUUUUAAAAUUGUACCUAUACUUAACAAUUUUGAAAUAAAUAUGUACAUAGCUUAUAACAUUUUCCUUGUACAUAAAUAAAUAUAGUUCUUUGCUAGCGAGAUGACUAAACUGAAUAUUUUGUCAUUACAUUUGUCUUACUGUACCCCAAAUAAAAUAUGGUUUUUUUCAGUUAAAAAAAAUGUUCUAAGAAUAUACAUUUACUAGAGAAGACUGAAUGUAGAUCUUGCCAGUGUGCACUAGCAAACUAACAGACAAAACCUAUAACAAAUUGUCUCUCUCGCAACAAGACAUAACA